CCACUAUUAAUAUAAGCGGUCCAUAGUGAAUAUCAACGAUUAACUGUUAUUAUCCACGGUCCACGGUGAAUAUUAGCGGGCCAUUGUUAAUAUCAACGGUCCACUGUUAAUAUCGCGGUCCAUAGUGAAUAUCAACAGGCCACUGUUAAUAUCAGCAAUCCAUAGUGAAUAUCAAUAGCCCACUAUUAAUAUCCAUGAUCCAUUAUGAAUAUAAGCAUGCCAUUAUUAAUAUCAGCGAUCCACAGUGAACAUCUACGGCCCAUGUAGUCCCACCAUUCACACAAACAAAUAAAAAAUGAGACCCCCACACUCCUCUUUGUUUCAAAAGCUCCCACUAUAUAUAUAUAU